CUUUGACCAGGAACAGGAAGUGCUUCUUGCUGGAGAUGGUGUCUACGAUGGUUCCUACCUCCCAGAAACCCUGUUAAGGAGACUGACUUUUUAAAAAGGUGUAUUCUUGGAGUGAAACAGUACCCAGCCAAACAAAAGCGGGCGAAGGGACCAUGUCAAAGGGGACCCGCGAGGGCCGGGAGCGCGGACAGUCAGCGAGGGCGAGGAAGCCG